CCUACGGGAGGCAGCAGUGAGGAAUAUUGGUCAAUGGGCGCGAGCCUGAACCAGCCAAGUAGCGUGAAGGAUGACUGCCCUGAGGGUUGUAAAUUUCUUUUAUAAAGGAAUAAAGUGAGGCACGUGUGCCUUGUUGUGUGUACUUUAUGAAUAAGGAUCGGCUAACUCCGUGCCAGCAGCCGCGGUAAUACGGAGGAUCCGAGCGUUAUCCGGAUUUAUUGGGUUUAAAGGGAGCGUAGGUGGGUUGUUAAGUCAGUUGUGAAAGUUUGGGGCUCAACCGUAAAACUGCCAUUGAGACUGGCAGCCUUGAGUACAGGUGAGGUAGGCGGAAUUCGUGGUGUAGCGGUGAAAUGCUUAGAUAUCACGAAGAACUCCGAUUGCGAAGGCAGCCUAC
rnacentral:rRNA from 1 species